rnacentral:rRNA from 1 species
AUGUCCACACCUGAUGUUAUGUUCAAAGAAUGUCAGACGAUGGAAUUGGGUAAAGCCAUGGUGUGCCAGCGUCUCUACCAGCCACCCUCUGCGUUACCGAGCUCUGGUGUCUCUAGGCGCGGCCAUUGUGUCGCCGCUACACCUACCUACAUUUCCUCUCUGCUAGGCAUGCCUUAUCCGCUCCUCCAGCUUCUUUUCCUCACUACUAUGUUCUGCAUGCUGGGAGUCGUCACCUCUAUCAGCAGAAAGUAUGCCGCCUCUACCUCCAUGCCCAGCUUGUCCUCACUGUUCUGUUGGCCAGAUUGA